CUUUCCUUAUCACCUGUUGAUGCUUUCUCUCAUCUGGAGGUCAUUUUAUGGGAUUCGAGAGUGAAUGAAAUGCUCAUUUCGCUAGCAGUCUACCUAUUUCCGUGGAGACAGUCUUGAUAGUAGUGUGCAUACAUUAUUAUAGUAAAUGGUUACUACUUUUAUAGUUGAAUAUGUAAUAUUAAUGAGUUAAUAACUAAACGCUAAAUUGUGAUUUUAUUUUAGUCAUCAUAAACACUUGCGUGCGACUAGAAAUAAAACUGUUCAUUUUUCCUAUCUUUAUUUAAGCUUGUAAGACUAGUUAAUUAAACACACAGAGAAUAGACGUUUUAUUUUGAUGCUUCGAAAGUCUAAAUCCCUUCGAUUUCAUAAGCCUACGUUCGUAUUCCUAACAUACAGUUUCUGAAAUCAUAGUUUGCC